rnacentral:rRNA from 1 species
AUUGAACGCUGGCGGCAGGCUUAACACAUGCAAGUCGAGCGGGGUGAUGGUGCUUGCACUAUCACUUAGCGGCGGACGGGUGAGUAAUGCUUAGGAAUCUGCCUAUUAGUGGGGGACAACAUCUCGAAAGGGAUGCUAAUACCGCAUACGUCCUACGGGAGAAAGCAGGGGAUCACUUGUGACCUUGCGCUAAUAGAUGAGCCUAAGUCGGAUUAGCUAGUUGGUGGGGUAAAGGCCUACCAAGGCGACGAUCUGUAGCGGGUCUGAGAGGAUGAUCCGCCACACGGGGACUGAGACACCGCCCAGACGCCUACGGGAGGCAGCAGGGGGGAAUAUUGGACAAUGGGGGGAACCCUGAUCCAGCCAUGCCGCGUGUGCGAAGAAGGCCUUAUGGUUGUAAAGCACUUUAAGCGAGGAGGAGGCUCUUUUGGUUAAUACCCAAGAUGAGUGGACGUUACUCGCAGAAUAAGCACCGGCUAACUCUGUGCCAGCAGCCGCCGUAA